rnacentral:rRNA from 1 species
GAACGAGAAAGUGGAGCAAUCCAUGAGUAAAGUGGCGCACGGGUGAGUAACACGUGACUAACCUACCCUGGAGUGGGGGAUAACUGAGGGAAACCUUAGCUAAUACCGCAUAAUACCCACGGGUCAAAGGAGCAAUUCGCUCUGGGAGGGGGUCGCGGCCGAUUAGUUAGUUGGCGGGGUAAUGGCCCACCAAGACUGUGAUCGGUAUCCGGCCUGAGAGGGCGCACGGACACACUGGAACUGAAACACGGUCCAGACUCCUACGGGAGGCAGCAGUGGGGAAUUUUGCGCAAUGGGGGAAACCCUGACGCAGCAACGCCGCGUGGAGGAUGAAGUACUUCGGUACGUAAACUCCUUUCGAUCGGGACGAUUAUGACGGUACCGGAAGAAGAAGCCCCGGCUAACUUCGUGCCAGCAGCCGCGGUAAUACGAGGGGGGCAAGCGUUGUUCGGAAUUAUUGGGCGUAAGGGGUGCGUAGGCGGUUUGGUAAGUCUCUUGUGAAAUCUAUGGGCUCAACUCAUAGACUGCAAGGGAAACUGCCGGGCUUGAGUGUGGGAGAGGUGAGUGGAAUUUCCGGUGUAGCGGUGAAAUGCGUAGAUAUCGGAAGGAACACCUGUGGCGAAAGCGGCUCACUGGACNACAACUGACGCUGAUGCACGAAAGCUAGGGGA